GGCGGCCGUAGCGCGGUGGUCCCACCUGACCCCAUGCCGAACUCAGAAGUGAAACGCCGUAGCGCCGAUGGUAGUGUGGGGUCUCCCCAUGCGAGAGUAGGGAACUGCUAGGC
rnacentral:rRNA from 2 species